rnacentral:lncRNA from 1 species
AACGAGCGAACAUUUAGCUGGCAGAAUCCUCACAUUCAUCCCCUAACCUGUGGGGUCAAGGAUAUUGUGUAGGAAAGUCUUCUACCAAGUUCUCCCAUCAACUGGACGCAGAAGACAGCAAGUUGGUACAGUACCUGGAAAAUGUAUGCUGAAAGAUAGUGUGCGCCAUGACUGACUAGUCCAUUCCUUCACUUCUGUGAGACAGGACCAAUAGCCACAUCAGUAGAUACAGGUAAAAUCCUGAACAAAAAGCAGACCUGGAGGCAUACCACCUGACUUUAAGACGUACAAUACAAAGCUAUAGUAGCCAAAACAAAGAUACUGGCAUAAAGAUACAGAGAAGACCAACGGAACAGAAUAGAUAACCCAGAGAUAAACACAUAUGUUUAUAGACUUAUUGUUGACAAAGUUGCCAAGAACAUUGGGACAAACUUCUGAGUAGUGCUGGGAAAACUCAAUAUCCAUAUAAAUGCUAGAUCUCUAUUGAUCACACCAUAAGCAAACACCAAAGCAAAACAUGAAGACUUAAAUCUAAGACCCAAGACUGUAAAAUAUUG